rnacentral:rRNA from 1 species
UACGUAGGGUGCAAGCGCUAAUCGGAAUUACUGGGCGUAAAGCGUGCGCAGGCGGUUUGGUAAGACAGAUGUGAAAUCCCCGGGCUCAACCUGGGAAUUGCAUUUGUGACUGCCCGGCUAGAGUGUGUCAGAGGGGGGUAGAAUUCCACGUGUAGCAGUGAAAUGCGUAGAUAUGUGGAGGAAUACCGAUGGCGAAGGCAGCCCCCUGGGAUAACACUGACGCUCAUGCACGAAAGCGUGGGGAGCAAACAGG